GAUGAAGAACGCAGCAAAAUGCGAUAAGUAAUGUGAAUUGCAGAAUUCAGUGAAUCAUCGAAUCUUUGAACGCACAUUGUGCCCGCCAGUAUUCUGGCGGGCAUGCCUGUUCGAGCGUCAUUUCAACCCUCAAGCUCAGCUUGGUGUUGGGACUCGCGGUAACCCGCGUUCCCCAAAUCGAUUGGCGGUCACGUCGAGCUUCCAUAGCGUAGUAAUCAUACACCUCGUUACUGGUAAUCGUCGCGGCCACGCCGUAAAACCCCAACUUCUGAAUGUUGACCUCGGAUCAGGUAGGAAUACCCGCUGAACUUAAGCAUAUCAAUAAGCGGAGGA
rnacentral:misc_RNA from 1 species